rnacentral:rRNA from 1 species
GACGAACGCUGGCGGCGUGCCUAAUACAUGCAAGUCGAGCGGACCAAAGGGAGCUUGCUCCUGGAGGUUAGCGGCGAACGGGUGAGUAACACGUGGGCAACCUGCCUGUAAGACUGGGAUAACAUCGAGAAAUCGGUGCUAAUACCGGAUAAUAAAAAGAACUGCAUGGUUCUUUUUUGAAAGAUGGUUUCGGCUAUCACUUACAGAUGGGCCCGCGGCGCAUUAGCUAGUUGGUGAGGUAACGGCUCACCAAGGCGACGAUGCGUAGCCGACCUGAGAGGGUGAUCGGCCACACUGGGACUGAGACACGGCCCAGACUCCUACGGGAGGCAGCAGUAGGGAAUCUUCCGCAAUGGACGAAAGUCUGACGGAGCAACGCCGCGUGAGUGAUGAAGGUUUUCGGAUCGUAAAACUCUGUUGUUAGGGAAGAACAAGUGCCGUUCGAAAGGGUCGGCACCUUGACGGUACCUAACGAGAAAGCCACGGCUAACUACGUGCCAGCAGCCGACGG